UGAGGAAUAUUGGGCAAUGCCCGCAAGGGUGACCCAGCAACGCCGCGUGGAGGAUGAAUGUCGUAAGAUUGUAAACUCCUGUUAGAGGGGAAGAAUAGUACCGGUUGGACCGGUAUAUGACUGUACCCUCAGAGAAAGCCCCGGCUAACUACGUGCCAGCAGCCGCGGUAAUACGUAGGGGGCAAGCGUUGUCCGGAUUUACUGGGUGUAAAGGGCGCGCAGGCGGGAUAAAAAGUCAGUGGUGAAAUCCUACAGCUUAACUGUAGAACUGCCUUUGAUACUUUGAUUCUUGAGUUCGGGAGAGAGAGACGGAAUUCCAGGUGUAGUGGUGAAAUACGUAGAUAUCUGGAAGAACACCAGUUGCGAAGGCGGUCUCUUGGUCCGACACUGACGCUGAGGCGCGAAAGCGUGGGGAG
rnacentral:rRNA from 1 species